rnacentral:rRNA from 1 species
AUGGGAAUUCCUGCUAAUGCUACUGCUUCGUUCAGCUUCCCGGUGAUCAACAUGGAGAAGCUUGAGACCCAGGAGAGGGGCGCCGCCAUGGGGGUCAUCGGCGACGCCUGCGAGAACUGGGGCUUCUUCGAGCUGCUGAACCAUGGCAUCUCGCACGAGCUGCUGGACGAGGUGGAGCGGGCGAGCAAGGCCCACUACGCGGCGUGCCGGGAGGAGCAGUUCAAGGAGUUCGCGGCGAAGACGCUGGAGGCCGGCGAGAAGGGCGCCGACGUGAAGGACGUGGACUGGGAGAGCACCUUCUUCGUCCGCCACCUCCCUGCCUCCAACCUCGCCGACCUGCCCGACCUCGACCACCACUACAGGUAUACGCACUUAAGCGAUUGGAAUGGAAUCAUCUUUUUAGCAAGUGACACUUUGCCUUUUCCGUGUCGUCGUUGCAGGCAAGUGAUGAAGGAAUUCGCGGCGGAGAUCGAGAAGCUGGCGGAGAAGGUGCUGGACCUGCUGUGCGAGAACCUGGGUCUGGAGCUGGGCUACCUGAAGCAGGCCUUCGCCGGUUCCUGGGGCCCGACGUUCGGCACCAAGGUCAGCAGCUACCCGCCGUGCCCGCGGCCGGACAUGGUGGACGGCCUACGCGCGCACACCGACGCCGGCGGCGUCAUCAUGCUUUUCCAGGACGAUCAGGUCAGCGGGCUCCAGCUGCUCAAGGACGGAGCAUGGGUCGACGUGCCGCCCAUGCGCCACGCCAUAGUCGUCAACAUCGGCGACCAGCUGGAGGUGAUCACCAAUGGGCGGUACAAGAGCGUGAUGCACCGCGUGCUCACCCGACCCGACGGCAACCGCAUGUCCAUCGCCUCAUUCUACAACCCCGGCGCCGACGCCGUCAUCUUCCCGGCCACGGCGCUCGUCGAGGAGCCGUCGGAGGAGGCGGAGCGUGCCGGGAGCGCCGUGUACCCGAGGUUCGUGUUCGAGGACUACAUGAACCUGUACAUGCGCCACAAGUUCGAGGCCAAGGAGCCGCGCUUCGAGGCCAUGAAGGCGGACGCCGCGCCCAUCGCCACCGCGUGA